GACGAACGCUGGCGGCGUGCUUAACACAUGCAAGUCGAACGGUGAAGGGACCGGUUUUUGCUGGUUCUGGAUGAGUGGCGAACGGGUGAGUAACACGUGAGUAACCUUCCCCCUUCUUCUGGAUAACCGCAUGAAAGUGUGGCUAAUACGGGAUAUUCUGCGCCUGCUGCAUGGUGGGUGUGGGAAAGAUAUUGUUUCGGUGGGGGAUGGGCUCGCGGCCUAUCAGCUUGUUGGUGGGGUGAUGGCCUACCAAGGCGGUGACGGGUAGCCGGCCUGAGAGGGUGGACGGUCACACUGGGACUGAGACACGGCCCAGACUCCUACGGGAGGCAGCAGUGGGGAAUAUUGCACAAUGGGCGCAAGCCUGAUGCAGCGACGCCGCGUGAGGGAUGGAGGCCUUCGGGUUGUAAACCUCUUUCGCCAGUGAAGCAGGCCUGUCCCUUGUGUGGGUGGGUUGACGGUAGCUGGAGAAGAAGCGCCGGCUAACUACGUG
rnacentral:rRNA from 1 species